rnacentral:lncRNA from 1 species
GGAAAUUCUGAUCUCACCUCCCUAGAAGAGACUGGUAUGUGUGGAAUCAAUUGGCUGUAUUGGGAACUUGAAGGCUUGUGGGUGGAACAGAAGCAGAACUCUGGGAGACAAACACAGGUGGAAAAUAGCCUGGUAGACAUGGAUUGGGGGACAGCAGACCCCGCCCUGAAACCACCAGAUAGGACAUGAAUUAUUAAGGAGAACCCUGGAGACUGCAGAACCAUGACAAGCAGCAGCAAGCAGGUGUUCCGGGCUUGCCGGAGGCUGUGGAAGGAGCAGGCUGCUGCCAGGGAGUUCCAUCACCGAGUCCUGUUGGCUGGAGUCUUACAGGAUGUUGUCUCACUGGCCACGCAGAACCAACAACUCCAACUCCAGAACAAGCAACUUCGGCAGGAAAGCACAGAGAGGAGAAAAAAAGUUUAAGCUCUGGCCAUCAGCCCUGACACCUUUUCCUUAAAGUAAAGGUAUUCAGAACAGACCCCAGAGUCAUACCUGUUCUGCAGGAGUCAAAUAAAAAUAUUUACUGAUCCUGAC